rnacentral:rRNA from 1 species
UACGUAGGUGGCAGGCGUUGUCCGGAAUUACUGGGCGUAAAGCGUGCGUAGACGGUUAUGUAAGUCAGAUGUGAAAGCCCCGGGCUCAACCUGGGAAUUGCAUUUGAGACUGCAUAGCUAGGGUGCGGAAGAGGGAAGCGGAAUUUCCGGUGUAGCGGUGAAAUGCGUAGAUAUCGGAAGGAACACCAGUGGCGAAAGCGGCUUCCUGGUCCAGCACCGACGUUCAGGCACGAAAGCGUGGGGAGCAAACAGG